UGUGUUCUCUCACAUCUGCCGUUACGAAACGCCACAGAUGUGGUACAUUAUCAUUGCUAAUCCUCUUUCUAAUUAUAGAUGUGCUAUUAGCAGCUCUGAUGUGGUGUACAGAUCUCUGUACCGCUAACAACAGACGGAAGCAUGCUCCACUCACCCGGGGGCACCUGUGGAGUUGGUUAUGCAGGGCAGCGGCUGUACUCAUGGAAUACAGCUCUCCGACAACACCCGCCAGCUCCUCCAGAGGCAGGUCCACACCAAACCAGUUUGACUGCCGUCCUGUACACAACACGUUGCUUGUUGCUAGAGAUGCAAUCUGUUCCCAUCACGUUCACUGGAGACCCAACACACUGGAAACAUGGAAAGCUUUCAAUUCUUUGUUUUUUCUUGAGAUGAAUCUAAAAUGGUGUCCAAGUGUGUAAGGGCAUGGUUGAAAGAUGGAACCAUCACUGUGUGUGCA